AGAGGCACAGGGUGCUUCAAGUGCAGGGCUAGGGCAAGUCUUCAUAGGAGAGGUGCUUGAAGGUGGACUGGAACAAAGAGAGCUUAAGAUAAGCAUCGUGAGUGGCUCAAAGGUUGCUGUAUGGGAUCUCUAAGAAAACAUCCAAGAAACUCGGCGAGCAUACUUUCAAUAGGCACGCUACAGAGGAAUGUGUUUGCGGAUCUCUGGUGGUUCUUGGAAUUCUACUGAGUGAUCGAUCUAUGAUAACGUAGAUGUCCAGUCCAGAAUUCUUUGCCAUUCUUCUUCUCUGGACAGGAGUAGCCCAAUGGACAGGUCUCUGUGGAGGAGGAUGGAGACAGGGUAAGAAGUAACCUUGGACACCCAGCUCCACUGAGUUUUCAGAUGGUCUUGCCUCGGCUAACUGCUUCUGCAUUUGCUUGAGAGAUUCCCAACAAGAACCAUCCAGAUGAGCCCUCUUCCAAAUUUCUUAGCUUCAAAUUUUGAACAAAACACAAUGAUUGUUUUACGUUAUUAAUUUGGAGAGUUAUACAGCAAUAGCAACCUGUACGUGGUCUGUUGUAGUCUGUGAUUUCGAAGGUUAGGAGACAACUGGGUAUGCAGGUACAAAUUUGCAAGGCAGGGUUGAUUAUAGUUUUUUUCCCCCCCAAAAUUCUCAUUCUGUCCUUGAUAGAUAUUAUGUUCUUUAAAAAUAGUUUUUAAGAUUCACUUUAAUUUUUUUUAAUGUAUGUUUAUAGAUGGAGUAUCUGUGAAGGCCAGAGAGGGUGGUCUCAGAAGCCAAGGAAACUGAGUAAUAGAUGGUUGUAAGCCACCAUAUGGGUACUAGGAUUUGAACCCAGAUCCUCUGGAAAAACAGCCAGUGCUCUUAACUGCUAUCUCUCCAGCCCCAUUAUCAUGUUCUUAAAAGUUUCUCAUGACUCAUUAGGAUUCCACAUAGUCAGUGGUUAUAGUUAACCCUCAGAUGGCAAUUAUUCAUCACCCUUGAAUGUUAUUACUUACGAUAAUUAAGUUUCCUUUUUCUAUAUAUAUUUUUCAAUUUUAGAUGGAAAAUAUUGACUAAGCACCUAUUGUGACUACUAUCAUUAAAAUAAUCACAUGGUAUUAUUUUAAGUAAAAACAUUUAUUUUCACAUUGAUUAUACUGGAU
rnacentral:lncRNA from 1 species